UGAAACCGUGUGCUUACAAGUAGUCAGAGCCCGUUAAUGGGUGAUGGCGUGCCUUUUGUAGAAUGAACCGGCGAGUUACGAUCUGAUGCAAGGUUAAGCAGAAAAUGUGGAGCCGUAGCGAAAGCGAGUCUGAAUAGGGCGAAUGAGUAUUUGGUCGUAGACCCGAAACCAGGUGAUCUACCCUUGGUCAGGUUGAAGUUCAGGUAACACUGAAUGGAGGACCGAACCGACUUACGUUGAAAAGUGAGCGGAUGAACUGAGGGUAGCGGAGAAAUUCCAAUCGAACUUGGAGAUAGCUGGUUCUCUCCGAAAUAGCUUUAGGGCUAGCCUCAAGUGAUGAUUAUUGGAGGUAGAGCACUGUUUGGACGAGGGGCCCCUCUCGGGUUACCGAAUUCAGACAAACUCCGAAUGCCAAAUAAUUUAACUUGGGAGUCAGAAUGUGGGUGAUAAGGUCCAUAUUCGAAAGGGAAACAGCCCAGACCACCAGCUAAGGUCCCAAAAUAUAUGUUAAGUGGAAAAGGAUGUGGCGUUGCCCAGACAACUAGGAUGUUGGCUUAGAAGCAGCCAUCAUUUAAAGAGUGCGUAAUAGCUCACUAGUCGAGUGACACUGCGCCGAAAAUGUACCGGGGCUAAACAUAUUACCGAAGCUGUGGAUUGUCCUUUGGACAAUGGUAGGAGAGCGUUCUAAGGGCGUUGAAGCAUGAUCGCAAGGACAUGUGGAGCGCUUAGAAGUGAGAAUGCCGGUGUGAGUAGCGAAAGACGGGUGAGAAUCCCGUCCACCGAUU
rnacentral:rRNA from 1 species